UAGGGAAUCUUCCACAAUGGACGAAAGUCUGAUGGAGCAACGCCGCGUGAGUGAAGAAGGGUUUCGGCUCGUAAAACUCUGUUGUUAAAGAAGAACAUAUCUGAGAGUAACUGUUCAGGUAUUGACGGUAUCUAACCAGAAAGCCACGGCUAACUACGUGCCAG
rnacentral:rRNA from 1 species